UAGGAAACCAGGCUUUAUUAGU
rnacentral:miRNA from 1 species